UCCCCCUCCCCAGGCCACCCAGCCCGCCCAGCUCCCGGCGGAGAGCAAGGUUUCCUCCUGUUUCAUAAUCAGCCGGAACAAUGUUCUACGCACACUUUGUCCUCAGUAAGAGAGGGCCUCUGGCCAAAAUUUGGCUAGCAGCCCAUUGGGAUAAGAAGCUAACCAAAGCCCAUGUGUUUGAGUGUAAUUUAGAGAGCAGUGUAGAGAGUAUCAUCUUACCAAAGGUGAAGAUGGCACUCCGAACACCAGGACAUCUCUUACUGGGAGUAGUUCAAAUCUAUCAUAGAAAAGCCAAAUACCUGCUUGCAGACUGUAAUGAAGCAUUCAUUAAGAUAAAGAUGGCUUUUCGGCCAGGUGUUGUUGACCUGCCUGAGGACAAUCGAGAAACUGCUUACAAUGCUAUUACCUUACCUGAAGAAUUUCAUGACUUUGAUCAGCCACUGCCUGACUUAGAUGACAUCGAUGUGGCCCAGCAGUUCAGCCUGAACCAGAGUAGAGUGGAAGAAAUAACCAUGAGAGAAGAAGUUGGGAACAUCAGUAUUCUACAAGAAAAUGAUUUUGGUGACUUUGGAAUGGAUGAUCGUGAGAUCAUGAGAGAAGGAAGUGCUUUUGAGGAUGAUGACAUGUUAGUGAGCACAAGCGCUUCUAACCUCCUGUUAGAGCCUGAACAGAGCACCAGCAAUCUGAAUGAGAAAAUUAAUCAUUUAGAAUAUGAAGACCAAUAUAAAGAUGACAAUUUUGGAGAAGGAAAUGAUGGUGGUAUAUUAGACGACAAACAUAAGUAAUAAUGAUGGUGGUAUCUUUGACGACCCCCCCGCCCUGUCAGAGGCAGGUGUGACAUUGACAGAACAGCCUGCACAUGAUGAUAUGGACGAGGAUGAGAAUGUAUCAAUGGGUGGGCCUGAUAGUCCUGAUUCAGUGGAUCCUGUUGAACCAAUGCCAACUAUGACUGAUCAGACAACACUUGUUCCAAAUGAAGAAGAAGCCUUUGCUUUGGAACCUAUUGAUAUCACUGUCAAAGAAACAAAAUCCAAGAGGAAGAGGAAGCUGAUUGUUGACAGUGUCAAAGAGCUGGAUAGUAAGACAAUUAGAGCCCAACUUAGUGAUUAUUCUGGUAUUGUUACUACUUUGGAUCUGGCACCACCCACCAAGAAAUUGAUGAUGUGGAAAGAGACAGGGGGAGUGGAAAAACUCUUCUCCUUACCUGCUCAGCCUUUAUGGAAUAAUAGACUACUGAAGCUCUUUACCCGCUGUCUUAUACCACUAGUACCAGAAGAUCUUAGAAAAAGGAGGAAAGGAGGAGAGGCUGAUAAUGUGGAUGAAUUCCUCAAGGAAUUUGAAAAUCCGGAGGUUCCCAGAGAGGAUCAGCAGCAGCAGCACCAGCAGGGUGAUGUUAUCGAUGAGCCCAUUUUGGAAGAGCCAAGCCGCCUCCAGGAAUCAGUGAUGGAGACCAGCAGAACAAACUUGGAUGAGUCAGCCAUGGCUCCACCACCUCCUCAGGGAGUCAAGCGAAAAGCAGGACAAAUUGACCCAGAGCCUGUGAUCCCUCCCCAGCAGGUAGAGCAGGUGGAAAUACCCCCUGUAGAACUGCCCCCUGAGGAGCCUCCAAAUAUCUGUCAGUUAAUUCCGGAGUUAGAACUUCUACCAGAGAAAGAGGAGGAGAAAGAGAAGGAGAAAGAAGAUGAUGAAGAGGAGGACGAAGAUGCUUCCGGAGGUGAUCAGGAUCAAGAAGGAAGAAGAUGGAACAAAAGGACUCAGCAGAUGCUUCAUGGGCUUCAGCGAGCUCUUGCUAAAACUGGAGCUGAAUCCAUCAGUUUGCUUGAGUUAUGUGGAAACACAAACAGAAAGCAAGCUGCAGCAAAGUUCUACAGCUUCUUGGUUCUUGAAAAGCUGAUGCAGGAAGAACCAUAGAGUGACAUCACUGCAACACCUGGACCAAGGUUCCACAUUAUUUGA